AAGAAUAAAAACAUGUAGAUGUAGGUUUAUCUCCUGUUAUCGACAUUAUAUUCUUGGAAUUUGGUUACACAAAUUUUAAUAACAUUCUAAUAAUCUCAUCUGAGUGCAAAUUAGAUCGAGUUUACAGUUAAAAUUUUAAUUAAUCCUUAAAAAAUGGAAAGAUUUCGACAUUUUCCUAUGGAGCUGAGGGAAGUUAUUAAAAAUUUAUUGUGGUAAAGAAAAAUAUUGCCUAUUUAAGCUUAAUAAAGGGGAACGUACAAAAAAACUUCGGAUAAAAAGGAUAAACUCAUCUCAAGAAUCAUUAAAAGUCGGUUUAGGAGCGUCCGGGCGGGUAGAAAAUUUAAUUCUAUUGCUAAUAUUAACUACAUCAACGAGAAAAGGGUUUUUAUAUGCUAACCAGAAAGCACGAAGUCCUAAAGAAGGACUUUUACUGAAUAGUAUGCACAUAGAACGGUGACUUUAAUUUGUUAGAAAUUUUAUGAAGGAAGCUGUGUUAGUUUGACAUAAUAUUCUAUGGACCGAUGCGCCAAAUAUUGUUUAUUUCGACUCUUGUGAGGAAAAACCAAUACUACAACAAUAUUACAUAAUCCUAUAAUCAGCAAUUAAACUCUAAAUAUACAAUUAAUACUAUGAAUCAUGGAGACCUUAAUCUGAUGUUAUUGGGAUGCCCUAAUGGAGCGUUACUAGGCCUUUGGUAAGUAUCAUAGGAAUUAUGGCCGCCAUUUAUUCUGUUAAUAACAAUCUAUUGUCCUACUUGUUGCCGAAAAACAUAUGCCAUUGUGAUGAGCCUAUCAUCAAGAUAAUAGCCGAAAACAAUCCUCGAAUAGAUCUUAGAAGUGUUUUGGUUGCAAAAAUAUUGAUCUAAUGGCUUAGUCGUUGUAGUACCUGGAGUUUAAUACAAUUGGAUGGAUGUGGAAAAAGUGAAGUUAAAUACAGUAAAAAUCAACUUUCUUAUGUAUUGUUCUUAUUUUUUCGAAUAGCCUAUUUCGGGCUCAAAGCAACAAAAAAACGCUGUAAAAAAUUAAAUGUGCAUAUAUUAACAAAGUUUUAUAUAUUUUAAAAAUUUCAUCCGUAUACAAAUGUUUGUUAAAAAAAGUUUUAUUAAAAAUCUUUUACAAAAAAAAUUAUUCGUCAAUUUAUAUGCUCACUUUGGUUAUUCUUAUUAUUUCGAUCACGUCUGUAUGUUUUCCAGUAGUAUCUGAGCGAGAUUUCCUGUGUGUUAUUUUUGUAGUUUCUGUGAGCACGUCUGUGUGUGUCUUGUAUGAUCUUUUCUUGUUGUUCGGUUUCGGUAAUAGGGUCCACCAAUUUUUGCGCUAGUACAAUCGAUACAGUUGGAAAUAUGUCGAUAAUAUCAUUUGCUCGUCUAUUUACAGAGCGUUGGUUAUCUUUGGUCUAAUUACAUUUUUAAUCUAUCUAGUAAUUCAGUUUUCGUAUUAAAAGAAAGCGUGUGUCGGUUGUUUGUUAUGUUUUGUGAGAAUAUUUCGACGAGGUUCUGAUCUUACCGUUUUACAAUAGUUUGGUUUCUAAACGAGUUUAAUGGUUGCUUUACUCGUUUGAGUCUUUGUGUUGGGGAGCUUUGUGCUGAAUGUUGGGAGUCAUCUGAAUUUACAGUGUUGUUUAUUUGCUGACGAGAAAGUGCAUUAGCGACAACGUUCUGAUGUCAGAGUUUGUAAACGAUUUUAGCACCAUAUUUUUCAAUGAAAUUUUUCCAUCUUUUUAAUUUUAUUUUGGGGUUUUUUCUGAUAUGGGAAUAUUAGAGAUUGAUAGUCAGUGUAUAUGUUAAAUCGGCUAUACCACACAAUUGCGGGUAAUUCUUUCUAAUUUGUGGAGUAAUACUGUUCUGUUUCACUGAGCGUUCGUGAAAUAAAUGAUAUGGGUUUUUGGUUUUGAGAUAAUACGGCUCCUAUAGCGUAAUUGCUAGCAUCUGCGGUUAAUUAAGGUGUGUUAAAAUUUGUUUUGAAGAGUUCAACCUGGGCUUGCAGUUCUUCUUUUAUUAUGUUCAGUGCUUCUAGUGCAGAUUCGUCUAAAGUUAUUUUUAUUUUUGCACAUUGAUUUUUUGAUAUGCCACCGUUCUCUCCUCUGAGGAACGUUGUGAGUGGUUUGACGAUGGCUGCAAAAUUCUUUAUAAAUUUUCUAUAAUAACUAGCGAGAAACCAGGAAAGAUCUGAGUUCCUUCAGUGCUGUAGGAAUAGGGAAAUGUUUAAUAGUCUGUGUUUUUGUUGGGUCAAUUGUAAUGUGGGUUGAAUUAUUUC